rnacentral:rRNA from 1 species
CGGUGAACACGGAGCUUGCUCUGUGGGAUCAGUGGCGAACGGGUGAKUAACACGUGAGCAACCUGCCCCUGACUCUGGGAUAAGCGCUGGAAACGGCGUCUAAUACUGGAUACGAGUAGCGGCCGCAUGGUCAGUUACUGGAAAGAUUUUUUGGUUGGGGAUGGGCUCGCGGCCUAUCAGCUUGUUGGUGAGGUAAUGGCUCACCAAGGCGUCGACGGGUAGCCGGCCUGAGAGGGUGACCGGCCACACUGGGACUGAGACACGGCCCAGACUCCUACGGGAGGCAGCAGUGGGGAAUAUUGCACAAUGGGCGGAAGCCUGAUGCAGCAACGCCGCGUGAGGGAUGACGGCCUUCGGGUUGUAAACCUCUUUUAGCAGGGAAGAAGCGAAAGUGACGGUACCUGCAGAAAAAGCGCCGGCUAACUACGUGCCAGCAGCCGCGGUAAUACGUAGGGCGCAAGCGUUAUCCGGAAUUAUUGGGCGUAAAGAGCUCGUAGGCGGUUUGUCGCGUCUGCUGUGAAAUCCCGAGGCUCAACCUCGGGCCUGCAGUGGGUACGGGCAGACUAGAGUGCGGUAGGGGAGAUUGGAAUUCCUGGUGUAGCGGUGGAAUGCGCAGAUAUCAGGAGGAACACCGAUGGCGAAGGCAGAUCUCUGGGCCGUAACUGACGCUGAGGAGCGAAAGGGUGGGGAGCAAACAGGCUUAGAUACCCUGGUAGUCCACCCCGUAAACGUUGGGAACUAGUUGUGGGGUCCAUUCCACGGAUUCCGUGACGCAGCUAACGCAUUAAGUUCCCCGCCUGGGGAGUACGGCCGCAAGGCUAAAACUCAAAGGAAUUGACGGGGACCCGCACAAGCGGCGGAGCAUGCGGAUUAAUUCGAUGCAACGCGAAGAACCUUACCAAGGCUUGACAUAUACGAGAACGGGCCAGAAUGGUCAACUCUUUGGACACUCGUAAACAGGUGGUGCAUGGUUGUCGUCAGCUCGUGUCGUGAGAUGUUGGGUUAAGU